CUUCGUCCGCAACCUCCUCGAACGCGGGAGCGGACCCCAAUACCACUAACCUGCGCCCCACAACGUACGAUACCUGGUGCGGCGUGGCCCAUGGAUGCACCAGAAAACUGGGGCUCAAGAUCUGCGGCUUCUUGCAAAGGACCAACAGCCUGGAAGAGAAGAGUCGCCUUGUGAGUGCCUUCAAGGAGAGGCAGUCCUCCAAGAACCUGCUUUCCUGUGAAAACAGCGACCGGGAUGCCCGCUUCCGGCGCACAGAGACAGACUUCUCCAAUCUGUUUGCUAGAGAUCUGCUUCCGGCUAAGAACGGGGAAGAGCAAACCGUGCAAUUCCUCCUGGAAGUGGUGGACAUACUCCUCAACUAUGUCCGCAAGACAUUUGAUCGCUCCACCAAGGUGCUGGACUUCCAUCACCCACACCAGUUGCUGGAAGGCAUGGAGGGCUUCAACUUGGAGCUCUCUGACCACCCCGAGUCCCUGGAGCAGAUCCUGGUUGACUGCAGAGACACCUUGAAGUAUGGAGUUCGCACAGGUCAUCCUCGAUUUUUCAACCAGCUCUCCACUGGAUUGGAUAUUAUUGGCCUAGCUGGAGAAUGGCUGACAUCAACGGCCAAUACCAACAUGCCAUCAGACAUGAGGGAGUGUUGGUUGCUACGGUGAUGGGGCUCAGAGCAGAACCAAAGCAUGAUUGUGACCUCCAGAGGUUUACAUAUGAAAUUGCACCAGUGUUUGUCCUCAUGGAACAAAUAACACUUAAGAAGAUGAGAGAGAUAGUUGGAUGGUCAAGUAAAGAUGGUGAUGGGAUAUUUUCUCCUG
rnacentral:sRNA from 1 species